UACGAAGGGGACUAGCGUUGUUCGGAAUUACUGGGCGUAAAGCGCACGUAGGCGGCUUUGUAAGUUAGAGGUGAAAGCCCGGGGCUCAACUCCGGAAUUGCCUUUAAGACUGCAUCGCUAGAAUUGUGGAGAGGUAAGUGGAAUUCCAAGUGUAGAGGUGAAAUUCGUAGAUAUUCGGAAGAACACCAGUGGCGAAGGCGACCUACUGGACACAUAUUGACGCUGAGGUGCGAAAGCGUGGGGAGCAAACAGG
rnacentral:rRNA from 1 species